rnacentral:rRNA from 1 species
UGCAGAAUCCCGCGAACCAUCGAGUCUUUGAACGCAAGUUGCGCCCGAGGCCACUUGGCCGAGGGCACGCCUGCCUGGGAGUCACGCCAAACACGCUCCCAACACUCAUCGGGUUGUGGGAUGCGGCAUGUGGCCCCCCGUCUCGCAAGAGGCUGUGGGCCAAAGAUGUGGCUGCCGGCGUAUCGUGCCGGACACAGCGCGUGGUGGGCGAACUCGCUUUACUUACCGCAGUGCGUUCGGCCCGUAGCCGACGUGAUGGCCUUGGACCCUAUGAACGGGGCGCAUGACGCUCUGACCGCGACCCCAGGUCAGGCGGGACUACCCGCUGAAUUUAAGCAUAUAAAUAAGCGGAGGAGAAGAAACUUACAAGGAUUCCCCUAGUAACGGCGAGCGAACCGGGAUCAGCCCAGCUUGAGAAUCGGGCGGCCGUGCCGUCCGA